GUACACUCCUGCGGGAGGCAGCAGUGGGGAAUAUUGGACAAUGGGCGCAAGCCUGAUCCAGCCAUGCCGCGUGAGUGAUGAAGGCCCUAGGGUUGUAAAGCUCUUUCACCGGUGAAGCUAAUGACGGUAACCGGAGAAGAAGCCCCGGCUAACUUCGUGCCAGCAGCCGCGGUAAUACGAAGGGGGCUAGCGUUGUUCGGAUUUACUGGGCGUAAAGCGCACGUAGGCGGACUAUUAAGUCAGGGGUGAAAUCCCGGGGCUCAACCCCGGAACUGCCUUUGAUACUGGUAGUCUUGAGUUCGAGAGAGGUGAGUGGAAUUCCGAGUGUAGAGGUGAAAUUCGUAGAUAUUCGGAGGAACACCAGUGGCGAAGGCGGCUCACUGGCUCGAUACUGACGCUGAGGUGCGAAAGCGUGGGGAGCAAACAGGAUUAGAAACCCUUGUAGUCCCAUG
rnacentral:rRNA from 1 species